AUCUUUGUGGUGUAGUGGUUAACGUGACUGACUCCAAAUCAGAAGAUCUCGGGUUCGAUCCCCGACAAGGACU